CACAGUGCUGCAUGGCUGUCGUCAGCUCGUGUCGUGAGAUGUUGGGUUAAGUCCCGCAACGAGCGCAGCCCUUGUCAUUAGUUGCUACAUUCAGUUGGGCACUCUAAUGAGACUGCCGGUGACAAGCCGGAGGAAGUGGGGAUGACGUCAAGUCCUCAUGGCCCUUAUAGGUGGGGCUACACACGUCAUACAAUGGCUGGUACAAAGGGUUGCCAACCCGCGAGGGGGAGCCAAUCCCAUAAAGCCAGUCGUAGUCCGGAUCGUAGUCUGCAACUCGACUACGUGAAGUCGGAAUCGCUAGUAAUCGUGGAUCAGAAUGUCACGGUGAAUACGUUCCCGGGUCUU
rnacentral:rRNA from 1 species